ACGGGUCACAGGCGUGCUGGCGCCUAUCCCAGCCGUCUCCAGGCGAGAGGCAGGGCACGCCCUGAACUGGUCACCAGCCAAUCGCAGGACAGUGGGAGGAAACCGGAGUACCCGGAGAAAACCCACGCAGGCCCGGGGAGAACACAAACUCCACACAGGGAGGCCGGAUUUGAACCCGGAACCUCAGAACUGUGAAGCAGUCGUCCACCAUUCUGCCUGCACUGGUUGCCGGUGAGCUAGGCCUUUUCCCAUCUGACUUUGAGCAAGAGAUCGUGGCCACCGCGGACUCAUCACCAGCCAAUCGCACAACAAUAACAACAGCCUCAGCGACUCAGAGGCACGUGUUGAAAAAGCCAAUGAAUGACUGGCCAAGAGUAAAAAUGUCCGAGUCAGCAGGAUGGCAUCGCUGUCCAGGCAUAGAGCAGAACCAGACCAGACUGUCUGGGAGAACAUUCAAAGACGCAGUGGGAGCAACAGGAAGAACUUCUCCUGACAGCCUGGAAAAGCAUGUCUUCUGCUCUACAACAGCAGACUUUGCGUGAGGACCCCAGACCUCCAGACUCGGCCCAGUCCUUCCUGUCCAGACAGAGGCAAUCAUCCCGCCGCAAGAGAGCAUUGCAUCCGAGGUAGAGGCCUUCAUCUUCCUCUUGAUACGCAUGGAAGUGAGACAUCCCUUUUGGUUCGAUGCAACACACUUCUUCUUCUGUCUUCUUUUGACCUACUCAUGGACACUAAGGAAAUCAAGCAUGGUCUGUAUUUUUAUGGACGUGUAUUUAUUUCUUUUCCACUGUGGUGUUAUUGCCCUCUGCUGGAAAAUGAUGUAAUUUAUCAUACUUCCUGUCUGCUGUGUUGUUAUGAAAAGAAAUGCACCACAUGCCAUAAAUAAAUUGUUCUAAAACGUAUCGUGGGAAACGAUGCAAAAUGA